CUCGCCGCCAGGCCAGGGAAGCAGGGGCCCUUCGGUGCAAAGAGCGGGGAGAGGCUGCUCUUGCCUCUCUCUGACCUUCUUCAGUACAGCUACCAGCCCCAGCCCACCAGCUGUGCCCCGAGUACUGCAACCUAAUGCCAAGGAUUGGCAGGAAGACCUGCCCGACUUGCCCUGUGCUCAGACCCCAGAAUCACUUUCCGAAGGGAGAGAGGCCUGCUGACUGAGAGGUGCUGAGAUGCUGGGGAACAGAUGACAGACUCGCAGCCAGCACCCACUGGGCCCAG